GGAAGGUUCGCCUAGUGGCCUAUGGCGCACGCUUGGAAAGCGUGUUGGGCGCAAGCUCUCGAGGGUUCAAAUCCCUCACCUUCCGCCA
rnacentral:tRNA from 1 species